AUUGCAUGUACGGUGUACAGUAAUUGAACUUAUUAAUAUUGCAAAAAUAUAUUAUGUAAAAUUACACAACACGAAAAUCAUAAGCGCAGCACGGACACGCACCAAGGGGAGAGACUUUAUCGACAGUGCCAGAAAAUGGAUAUGCCAAAUAGUUCCAACGUUGAAAAUGGGUGCGAGUGGCGUUUCGAGCGGUCCAUUGUCCAAUAUAAAACAUCAUUUCAGGUUAGGUCCCUGUGGUCCAGCAGACAGAUAUCCACAUUGCACCUUGGAUGAUACUUUAAUUACACUGUGAAUACGAUAAUGCAGCCAAAUGGAGCCGAGAUGCACAUUUACAUACAUGACCAUAAUUUACCAUUGGUUAAAGAUAACGUGACCUCAGUGAAGAGAUAACGUUUACUCCGAAUUAAUCUGUAACACGAAAUUGGGUUUUUUAGCGGAAUUACAGCGUUCCAUAAAAAUGUUGAACUGUACACAUGAAUUAUAUAGCGUCGAUCAAUAAUAAUGUGAUCUUUGUCCUAAAACAA